CACGAUGAGGUAGUGACGAGAAAUAACGAGUCCGUUCUCUCUGAGGUCGGACAUUGGAAUGGGUACAAUCUAGACAAUUUAACGAGUAUCUACGAGAGGGCAAGUCUGGUGCCAGCAGCCGCGGUAAUUCCAGCUCUCGUAAUACAUAGAAUUAUUGUUGCGGUUAAAAAGUUCAUAGUUGGAUUGUUCAACCGUCGCGGGUGCGUCCUAACGGGCGUCACUCGGGGCGGUAUUUUGCGCGUUUGUGUGCGUCGGCUUUCGGGCAGGCGUACGCUGCGCGCAGGAUUACUUUGAACGGCUUAAGUGCUCAAGGCGGGUCUGAGGACCGAAUACCGGUGCAUGGAAUAAUGGAACAAGGUUGCGGCCGAGUUUUAUUGGUUUUGUCGGCUGAAACAAUGGUUAACAGGAACAGCCGGGGGCAUUCGUAUCGCUGCGCGAGAGGUGAAAUUCGGGGACCGUAGCGAGACGCACUAAAGCGAAGGCAUUUGCCAAGAGUGUUUUCAUUAAUCAAGAACGAAAGUCAGAGGUUCGAAGGCGAUUAGAUACC
rnacentral:rRNA from 1 species